GAUUAUAAAGGUCCCCUUGCAAAGCUCUUUGCUUCACACUCCCCCAUCUCACAAAAAGCAAACAAAAUGUCCCUCCCUUCUACUCAUCUUCCCCUAUUUUCUACUGAGGUCAUAGCAUAGGUACCUAGCCUGAGUUUCAAUUUCCAAUCUUUAAUUUUCUCCAUUUUUAUCGCAAGAAUGAAACUUGCCAUCUUAGUCAUUGUCUUCCUAUUCCUCUCAUGGGUAAAUUCCAAGGGCUGGGCUUCCAGUUCCAGUAGUAUGGACAAUUAUUAUGUUAGAGAUGCAUGUAGUGUGACUAGGUAUCAGGACCUCUGUAUCCACUCGCUAGCUUCAUUUUCACGAACAGCUAGGAGAAGUCCUAGCAAGUGGGCUCGGGCAGGGGUCUCAGUCACAAUAGGUGAGGCUAAAAACGCUAGUCAAUACCUGAUCAAAUUGAAGAAAUACAAAAUCAUGAGAGACAGCAGAAACAUGAUUGCCCUUUCAGAUUGCAUUGAGAACUUCCAGGAUACAAUUGACAAUCUUCACAAAUCACUUGGAGUACUCAGGAAACUUGAUGCCACCAACUUCGAAAAUCAAAUGGGCGAUGUAACUACAUGGAUGAGUGCUGCACUUACUGAUGAGGACACUUGCCUGGAUGGUUUUGAGGACCAAAACCCUCCUAAACAAGUUAUAAAAGUGCUUCAGAACAGAGUCACAAGAGUCGCCUACAUUACCAGCAACGCGCUGGCUCUUGUAAACAAACUUUCAUCUACUGGUUUGGGAAGCCUUACUUAUUAAUCCACAGUUAUUAAGAAUUUUUUUUUAGAAUUAAUUUAAUCCCAGAUUAUAAUAUUAUUGGAAUAAUCAAGCUAGCCUAAUAUCUUUAGGCUGUGUAUGUUCUGUUUUUAUGUGAAUACAUACAGCCUUUGCUGUAAUAUGUACUUAUUUAUCAUUCAAGUUUGAACUUUUUCUUGGGUUUAAUGCGAUUAGUAGCUAACUCUGUUACUAUGGUUGGGAUAGACCAAAAUGUUAUGAAUAUUCUUUUGUUUAUUAACAUUCUGUUACAGUACAUAUUCUGUGGUUGUUUCAGUGUAAUUAAGUAAGUGGCCUCUGCAAGGGGACCAUGAUCCAUGAAAAUGGGUGCUAUCGUCUCAAACAACAGACAUAUUAGAACUGUUCCAUUAUCCGACUGUACUCUUAUGAUCCCCACACCAUGUGUGUACCAGAAUCAGUGUCUAAUAUCUAAGAUGUGCCACUUUUACAGUGUUACUGGCUCUGCUUUCACAAACAUUGUCACGAGUAGCAGAAUAAAUAAUUGUUUAC
rnacentral:misc_RNA from 1 species